rnacentral:rRNA from 1 species
UACAGAGGUCUCAAGCGUUGUUCGGAUUCAUUGGGCGUAAAGGGUGUGUAGGUGGCGCGCUAAGUCGGGUGUGAAAUUUCGGAGCUUAACUCCGAAACUGCAUUCGAUACUGGCGUGCUUGAGGACUGGAGAGGAGACUGGAAUUCACGGUGUAGCAGUGAAAUGCGUAGAGAUCGUGAGGAAGACCAGUGGCGAAGGCGGGUCUCUGGGACAGUUCCUGACACUGAGACACGAAGGCCAGGGGGAGCAAACGGGG